rnacentral:rRNA from 1 species
AGGAUGAACGCUGGCGGAGUGCCUAACACAUGCAAGUCGAGCGGCAGCGGGAGUAGUUUACUACUUGCCGGCGAGCGGCGGACGGCUGAGUAACGCGUGGGAACGUGCCCCAAAGUGAGGAAUAAGCAUCGGAAACGGUGUCUAAUGCCGCAUAUGAUCUUCGGAUUAAAGGAUUUAUCCGCUUUGGGAGCGGCCCGCGUUAGAUUAGGUAGUUGGUGAGGUAAAGGCUCACCAAGCCGACGAUCUAUAGCUGGUCUGAGAGGAUGACCAGCCAGACUGGACUGAGACACGGUCAGACUCCGUACGGGAGCAGCAGUGAGGAAUCUUCACAAGUGGAACGAAGUCUAGGAUGGAGCAACGUUCCGCGUGCGAGGAUGGAAGGUCCGUUACGGUACUAAACGUGU